rnacentral:rRNA from 1 species
AGUCGAGCGGACGACGGGAGCUUGCUCCCUUAGGUCAGCGGCGGACGGGUGAGUAACACGUGGGUAACCUGCCUGUAAGACUGGGAUAACUCCGGGAAACCGGGGCUAAUACCGGAUGCUUGAUUGAACCGCAUGGUUCAAUCAUAAAAGGUGGCUUUUAGCUACCACUUACAGAUGGACCCGCGGCGCAUUAACUAGUUGGUGAGGUAACGGCUCACCAAGGCGACCAUGCGUAACCCACCUGAGAGGGUGAUCGGCCACACUGGGACUGAAACACGGCCCAAACUCCUACGGGAGGCAGCAGUAGGGAAUCUUCCGCAAUGGACGAAAGUCUGACGGAACAACCCCGCGUGAGUGAUGAAGGUUUUCGGAUCGUAAAACUCUGUUGUUAGGGAAGAACAAGUACCGUUCGAAUAGGGCGGUACCUUGACGGUACCUAACCAGAAAGCCACGGCUAACUACGUGCCAGCAGCGCGGUAAUAGUAGGUGGCAGCUUUGUCCGGAAUUAUUGGGCGUAAAGCGCGCGCAGGCGGUUUCUUAAGUCUGAUGUGACAGCCCCCGGCUCAACCGGGGAGGGUCAUUGGAAACUGGGGAACUUGAGUGCAGAAGAGGAGAGUGGAAUUCCACGUGUAGCGGUGAAAUGCGUAGAGAUGUGGAGGAACACCAGUGGCGAAGGCGACUCUCUGGUCUGUAACUGACGCUGAGGCGCGAAAGCGUGGGGAGCGAACAGGAUUAGAUACCCUGGUAGUCCACGCCGUAAACGAUGAGUGCUAAGUGUUAGAGGGUUUCCGCCCUUUAGUGCUGCAGCAAACGCAUUAAGCACUCCGCCUGGGGAGUACGGUCGCAAGACUGAAACUCAAAGGAAUUGACGGGGGCCCGCACAAGCGGGGAGCAUGUGGUUUAAUUCGAAGCAACGCGAAGAACCUUACCAGGUCUUGACAUCCUCUGACAACCCUAGAGAUAGGGCUUCCCCUUCGGGGGCAGAGUGACAGGUGGUGCAUGGUUGUCGUCAGCUCGUGUCGUGAGAUGUUGGGUUAAGUCCCGCAACGAGCGCAACCCUUGAUCUUAGUUGCCAGCAUUCAGUUGGGCACUCUAAGGUGACUGCCGGUGACAAACCGGAGGAAGGUGGGGAUGACGUCAAAUCAUCAUGCCCCUUAUGACCUGGGCUACACACGUGCUACAAUGGGCAGAACAAAGGGCAGCGAAGCCGCGAGGCUAAGCCAAUCCCACAAAUCUGUUCUCAGUUCGGAUCGCAGUCUGCAACUCGACUGCGUGAAGCUGGAAUCGCUAGUAAUCGCGGAUCAGCAUGCCGCGGUGAAUACGUUCCCGGGCCUUGUACACACCGCCCGUCACACCACGAGAGUUUGUAACACCCGAAGUCGGUGAGGUA